ACAGGAGAGUCCAAAGAAGUCACAUUUACAUGUAAAGAAUUCUGACUGGACAAAAAAAGAAGAUGCCACCCUGACUUUUCACGUUAAACCAUCUUUUACCUCUUCUCCAUGGUACAGCAUAUACUCAAUACCCCGAGGCUUGAUUCGUUCAGGCUUCUCAGAGUUAGAUCUGAUUUUGAUUUGGGUCACUUCUCCAAAAGCGAGAAGCCCUAAAGUAGAUCCCAAGGGCUCGUGGAUGCUGAUGUCAUCGGCAUGGACCACCAACCAGCAUCACGUGCUGCUCAGGCUCCUGCUGAACUUUCUGGUUGCUUGCAGUUUCAAGGAGGCAACAAGCGUGUGUCUCUGUGGCCUGCAACACCAGACUGUCUCUGUGUGACCAAAUCAAAUAAGUGCCAAUUCUACUGAGCCCUUGGGAAGAUGCGGCGGAGUCGGCCAAGUUUGGGAAUGACACGGACCUUGAGGCUGGGCUCACAAAGGCUUGGCGUGGUGAUUAAAGUACUGCAUGGUGUGCAACUUCAAACAAGUGUUUAUUUAGACACGAAGCCCACCGCAGCGCCCCUGAAAUAGUAUGUGUGCCAUUGUGAGUUAUUUUUCUCCUUUAGUCUGUGUCCUUACACCAGUGACCCACUCAUCGCUUCUAACCAGUGAAUUAAACAGAGCUACAGAAGGGGAGACUGCAGGGUCAUGAGACCCUGGCGUUCAGGCACUUCUUCCUAACCGAUUCCAGAUGUGUGGAUUGGCACGGCGUCAGCUCUGAGACAAUAACAAAUGGCCGUCCUUCCCCAGCUAACAGCAAGUGGCUACUGGUCCCAGCAGCAGGGACUGUGUGUUUUUAUUUCAGAGGCCUCACUUGGCUGGAGGCAUUGGCCCGUGCUGAAUGUUUACCUGGCAUGGACCUUAGAGAAGAUGGUGGAGGAAGGAAGCAAGAGAAGAUUGUCCCUGACUGUGGACCCUUACAAACGCCAACCACGCGCACGGGGCAGAAUCAAGUGACUGGGGCCACCAACAGGCUGUGAAAGGGCUCAGUAGGGACAGGCCUGCUUUCCCGAGAGGACCUCUGCGGCGGUUGGCUCUGGCCUGGUUCAAGUGGCAGUCAGUCUCCCUCUCCAAGGUGGGGGAAGCCUUGCACACCUUGGCACACGUGGCUCAAGGUUUUGAGGCCCGAUCAGCUGACCCUGGCUCCCACGCUGUGCUGGGUUCUCCCCAGGAAUUCAGUCUCCAUCUGUGUUCUCACUCAUCGAGCAACUUCUUUGGCGGUAAUCAUGGGGUGAGUCGGCACUGGAGGUGGGGAACUGGAAAAGACUCGGAUGGAUUUGCCUUAAGUGUGGCCAUCUUCAGAGCUAGGCUGCCAGGAUGGUACCACCGACCCUCCGCAGCCAACCGUGAGAUUCGGAGGGUCUGGCAGCGUGAGAAUCGUUUCCGUGCUCCGAGGAACACGGAAGUCCUGGUUUGUGGCUUUCCAGGAACAUCCCACAAACAGAAGACUCUGAAAUGUCACAGAAGGUCUACAUUCUGGGUCUUAAAAGGAAUAUCCAGUCCCAGCUGGCUUUGGUUUGCUGGUGAACAGGGCUUGUUUGCCCGAGUCUGUGAAUUCUGUGGGCUUGAACAGAAUACCUUGAAGGCUAUGAGCUGGGGUGGGUGUGGGACUUUGACAAAGGAAAAAGUCCACCUCGGGGCAGCAAGAACAGCUGAGUCUGUCAACCGAGUGACUGGACCUGACUUGCUAAGAACGAGCGAGUGUGAACGGACCAUCCUGCCCUCUCAUCCCCACUGAUGACUCUGCUCUUCUCUGGUAUGGGACAGCAGAUGCAGGCUCAGACAAGUCACAUCAUUACCACUCACCAUGACUGGCCCAGAGCCCCAGCCCGGGGAUCAGUGGGCAUACAUACACUCCCUUUGCAGGCCAAGUGCUCUAAGAUAAAUCCUGGUUUUGGAUCCACAUGAGACCAUCAUAUAUUGCCUCCUAAGGAGCAUGCCUUAGGAGCCAGCAGGUGGGAUUCUGCUAGCCCCUGUCUGACUGGCCUGGAUUUCAUGCAGUGUUGCCCAAAGCACAAGGGUUUCCAAGAGGCCCCUCCCUCUUAGCUUAGCAACACUUACUGCCUGCUAGUUGUGGCGUUGCAACUAGAAUGCCUAACACAAAACUUAUCAGAGGUUCUCUGUUUGCCAGGUACAUGCCAUUGUCUAGGAGGGCAAGGGAAUGGGUGACAUUAAGGUCAAGGCCGGUAAACAUUUAUCUCCACAGCUAACGGCAGGAAAAUUUCUGUUCUCAGAACCCAGCAUGCCCUCCACAUUUUAGUUUAGACAAUUCUUUCUCUAGGACACUCUUGUUGGUGGCCUUAACCUGGUAGGUAACUUUCUCUGGGCUUCUUCCGAUGGCCCUGCUGGUCUACUGUCACCAUGCCAACCAGCAGCAUUCCCGUUCUCCUUACUCGAUCAUCAGUUUGUCGAGGGUGGGAGAAACGCCCGCCUCAUUUAUUACCCCAUCCCCAGAAUUCAUCAUCAGCCCAUAAUUUGUCGAUGAAGCACCUGGCAUGACGGGCAUGCAAGGUCACUGUGGUCCUCCUUCCAGGGAGGCUUCUCGGAGGAGCCAUGCCUCUCAAGACUGUCUUUGAGAAAGUUUGAAGACAAAGGGAGACGUGGAGCCUAGCUGCAUCGUGUUCCCACUCCGCAUGAGAUUACCAUGGGAACAAAUGUGGGAACCAUUGCUCUUAGCAAAUGGGGGGAGUGCUCACUCAAAUGGACCCCCCCUCCCAUGCCAGGAAGGCUUCCAAGAUGCCAACUAUGCCAGUGAUUCUCACUAUUCAGCACAGCGGGCUGCAAGCCAGGCGGCUUCUUGGGAUAUCUCAUCUGAUCUUUCCAGCAACCUUGCUGAAAAGAGACGCUUGUCUUCACUUUUACAGAGGAGGGCUGAGCCUCAGAAAGGGCGGAGCUUGGCCAGCACUACACGGGGACUGAGCCAAGAGUCUUAGCUGGGGCUUUUCGGUUCAAAGCCAGUGAUCUUCAAUACAUUGCUUGUGACCUUCCUCAAAGAACCGACCCUCUUGUACAUUUAAAACGCUUAUAUACAAAGAUUCAUGUUGUAUAUUCAGGUAAUUGCCUAAAGUGCUAGAGCAUUCUAUUGAAUAUGUACAAACUUUACCUUUGGUCAAAAUUUAGUUCAUAUAAUUUUGAAAAAAAAUCUCUGCCCUA